rnacentral:rRNA from 1 species
GUUUCAGCAGCCGCGGUAAUACGUAGGGUGCGAGCGUUAUCCGGAAUUAUUGGGCGUAAAGAGCUCGUAGGCGGUUUGUCGCGUCUGUCGNGAAAGUCCGGGGCUUAACCCCGGAUCUGCGGUGGGUACGGGCAGACUAGAGUGCAGUAGGGGAGACUGGAAUUCCUGGUGUAGCGGUGGAAUGCGCAGAUAUCAGGAGGAACACCGAUGGCGAAGGCAGGUCUCUGGGCUGUAACUGACGCUGAGGAGCGAAAGCAUGGGGAGCGAACAGGAUUAGAUACCCUGGUAGUCCAUGCCGUAAACGUUGGGCACUAGGUGUGGGGACCAUUCCACGGUUUCCGCGCCGCAGCUAACGCAUUAAGUGCCCCGCCUGGGGAGUACGGCCGCAAGGCUAAAACUCAAAGGAAUUGACGGGGGCCCGCACAAGCGGCGGAGCAUGCGGAUUAAUUCGAUGCAACGCGAAGAACCUUACCAAGGCUUGACAUGUUCUCGAUCGCCGUAGAGAUACGGUUUCCCCUUUGGGGCGGGUUCACAGGUGGUGCAUGGUUGUCGUCAGCUCGUGUCGUGAGAUGUUGGGUUAAGUCCCGCAACGAGCGCAACCCUCGUUCCAUGUUGCCAGCACGUCGUGGUGGGGACUCAUGGGAGACUGCCGGGGUCAACUCGGAGGAAGGUGAGGACGACGUCAAAUCAUCAUGCCCCUUAUGUCUUGGGCUUCACGCAUGCUACAAUGGCCGGUACAAUGGGUUUCGAUACUGUGAGGUGGAGCUAAUCCCAAAAAGCCGGUCUCAGUUCGGAUUGGGGUCUGCAACUCGACCCCAUGAAGUCGGAGUCGCUAGUAAUCGCAGAUCAGCAACGCUGCGGUGAAUACGUUCCCGGGCCUUGUACACACCGCCCGUCAAAC